AAGGGGAAGUGUCAUUCACUACACUGUUUAAAUCUACCAUACAUUCUUGAUCCAUUAAAUAAGUUCAGUGCCGGGAUGUAGAUUAACUUGGAAGAUUGAGAGAUCUAAGCCCUACUUGGCAAAGUAACUGACAGCACAGGCUUGAUCAGCUGCUCCGGAUAACAACAUGGAGAGAGAAAAAUUCCAGUCAUGCCUGAAUUCUUACUUUUAAGUGCAUAGAAGAGAUAUCCUACUGCAUUUGUCUUUAAAAAAGAAUACCAUGUUGAAAUGGAAACAAGUCUAGAAUGCAAACAGUGAAGAAACUUUGUUUUGGUAUUGGGACGUGGUGCUUUAAAGAUUUUUUAAAAAUAAAUCCAACCCCAGUUUUUAAGUGUGGUCUUUGCAGGGCAGCCAGGACGAGGGAAGAGACAAGAAUCUUGACUCCAUUUUUCAGAUAUUAUCAUAUAUGUUAUAUUAAAAAUGCUAAACUAAAACUAUACUAAAAGAAUAGAGAGAAAGGAAUCAUCAGAAGGUGAGACAGGAAUAGAAGGGAAUGAAUAACAAAGUCUUAUGACUGACCAAGACAGUCUGGACAGCUGGACUGUGAUUGGCUAUUAAUUAGAAGCAACUGCAUGAGACCAAUCACAGCUCCACCUGUUGCAUUCCACAGCAGCAGAUAGUCAUUGUUUACAUUUUGUUCCUGAGGCUUCUCAGCUUCUCAGGGGAAAAAAAUCCUGGCAAAAGGAUUUUCAUAAAAUAUGUCUGUGACAUUUAAGUGGGUGAAAUGAAUGGCAUUGAGUGGGAUCCCAAAGCACAGUCGAGUUUGGGGAGUAGGAAGAACCGUUUGGUCACUUUCAUUACUUUCACAGGGACUGAACAAUGCAGCUUUGCUAUUUUGGCAGUUUGACUGCAGAGAAUAAUGAAAGCAGAAUAAAGCUGGGACAAGGUAAGCAUUAGAAACUUCCGUUUCCUAAGUGAUUUCCAAAGCACAAUGUGUGGACUUCAAUUUGUUCAUACACCUGACUUCAACUUCAGACCAAUACUGUUAUGUACAAAUCUAAGAAGCUAAGUGUCAAGAAAGACAGGUAAGCUUAUUAAGUCUUGCUGUUAGUUAUUUGUUGCUUUCCAUAUAUUUAAGAGAUUCUGGAGGAAUGAAAUGUCUUGGUCAUUCAAGGAAUGUGUGUGCAUGAUGCAUUAGAGAAGGCUGGUAGUAAGCAUGAUCUUUCCACAGGGCUGGAUGUGUAAUACAUAAGCAAGACCAUCCACCUUAGGAUACACUGAUUCUGCCAUUACCAAAAUAAGUUAUGAACUGUCACAAUCUGGACUUUAAAGUGUUUAACCUGCUACCCAGAUUUGUGGUGAGGAAUCCAGACACAGGGUUACAGAUUGUGCAAUCAACUUGAAGGAAGUUGGGAAAGCCACCCAGCUCUUUUCUCCUUGAUAAGAGGCAUAUUUUUAUUCACAGGAUGCUCAGCGGGAGCCAGAGGGAUGUGAAUCAGUAGCAGACACUUGAGAAGCUGCCUUGGAACACAAACACCAGGGAGGACAAUGAGAAGUUGUAUCUCUCAGGAUUUCCCAAUCAUGGCAAAAUACUCUAUCUUGCAAGGAGAAGGAGGAAUGAAACCAUGCAGCAAGGUGUGCUGGCAGCAAGACCACAGCUGUCCAUCAGCAGUGGGAGUUCCUGUGUUUUCAUUCCCAAGAAAUUAAAUACUGCUAUCAACUUUCCACAAAAAAGCACAGGUAACUCAGGAAACAGCAUGGAAGAAGCCACAUCUAUCUGUGUCUGGUUACCUGAAGCAGGUCUUUAGCAAAAUAAUGAGUAAAAGACAAGAUGCACUGGAGAGUCUGUGCACUGGCCAAUGCUCCAGUCUUUGUUUACCUGUGCAAUGUUUACAGACAACCUGUACAUUUUCUAAAAGUAAUGUGAGCACAGAGGUUCAUCAGCCCUGCCUUCCCUUCAGAGUACAGCUGAUGAUCUGAAAUGAAUCAGUGAGAACUUGAACACCAUAGACUUGCUAGCACAGCCCCACUGGCUGCAGCAGCAUUACUCAACAUAAAAAUAAUAACUACUUUCCCAAUCGUAUCCCACCCAGAUCCAGGGUGAGUUGCACAAUAUUCUUGCACCCUCAUUUUCAUACUGAAGAAUGCUGGAUGUCUGUGAAUGAUAUCUGCAGUGUACCCAGCAGCUAUCUGCCUCUAAGAACCAUCAAGAUUGGAAAUAUUUUCUUCUCACACACACUUAACUUGUUUAUUUCUUUUCCACUUUUUAUCUCUGCCCUACAACAUAUUCUUUAUCAUGCUGCCCCUUUUCUGUUUAGCCCUAGUGUGACUUCAGCCAGUUCCAGCAGUGUAGUGAGGGCUUCUUUGCUUUACAUACAUGUUAGAAUAAUUAUUCUAAGUAUUCAAAAUAUCUGACUCACCCGAAGUUAGUUCCAGCUACAUAAAGAAAAAGGAGAAAUAAAGGGGGAAAACACUGCAGUAGUUAAACUUGCUGCCUAAUGGGCUUCUCUCUGCUGUUUUUCUAUGGUGGCAUAACAUGAAGAAAAUACUACCAGAAGCUUUCUGUGUCCUCUUUCUGGAAAAAACACUGUGCACCCAAAGAAAGGGAUGGGCUGCUCAGUGGGGGGGAUUAGAUAUUUCAUGACAGAGCAGUUGGAUUGCUUCAGCCUGAUGAAAAAUGAACUGAAACACUUCUUUGCCUUGAGGAGGUCUCUGAAAGACAGGUGCCUUUCCCUCCUUGGGGCAUUUUGUCAGCAGGAAGGAGAAGGAAGGUAGGAAAGGAGAAUUGCUUUCAUCCCAUUUUCUUACACCCCACUGCUGGUAAUACUUCUGAUUAGUUCCAUUCAUGUGCAGCUUGGGGCUGGCUACCCAAUCACAUGGGGCUUAAAAAUCGCAUUAAAAACACAAACAAAAAUCUCUCAGCAGGGCUAAAUCACCCUGGCUGCCCUGGGGUUCCCAGUGCCCAGUGUUUGGAGAUGGACUGACAAAGCUGGGACCAUACCAUGGAAGGGGGUCCCCAAAACACAUACUCUCCCUCUCAUCCUCUACCAUACAUUUUUUAAGGGCAAAUAAGGCUCUGCCCAGGUCUGAGACACAGCAUGCAAAUUUUCCCCAGGAAGAAAGCUUUUUCCCAAGAUAGCUGUCUGAAAAAUUAAAGACAAUAUACUUAAUUUAUAUUGAUAAACUAUUUAUGUGUGUUGUGGGUUUAAUUCCUGGGAAGCUGCAACACUAAAAUCAAAUUUAUAUCACAGCCUAUGACAAAAAAUACAGCUACCACAAAAAAAAAAGCAGGCUAUGUAAUCUCAAGUAAUAGAGAGACUUCAAACAAUAAAUGUUAUAGGAUAUAAAUAGAAUAGAAAUAUCUAAUAAGUGUAUAACAUAUGUUUAUAAUAUCUAUUUAGAAUUUUUAAAAAUACGGUAUUUAUUGAAGACUAUAAUGCAAGGUGUACAGAUGGAAACAAAAAAAUCUCACUCCCCAGUGAGAUUUCAACAUGGCAGAGCACAAGUUGUGCAAAUAAACAUAUGAUUUAUGCACAUACAGGGAACUGAAAUGCAUACUGGAGCAAGAUUUUUGCUGGGAGAAUUUGCUAUUUACUCUCAAUCUCUUCUCAUUGAUGCUUAUGUUACAGGUAGAGGCAGCCUUGGGCUGGGAUAUGAUCACAUAUAUGUCAUAUAUUUCCUAUGUUACUGCCCAUACAUUUCAGCUAACUUGAGCAGCUCACUUCCAGGUAUUUUACCUGGAGGCUGACACAAAUGGAAGAAAUCAUCUUACAAAACAGCACAGAGAAUAGAAAAGGGAGAAAAAUAAAAAGUCAACGUAAUGUCCUGCUAUUAUGACACAUUUUUCUUCUCCCAAGCCGUACUUACAGUCUGUUUUACUGAGCUGCUCUGACUCAAUGCUUGAUACUGUUUCACACCCUUACUUCAUGCAAAGACGUUACACAAUUGCAACUCCGGCACGCCAACUUUCGCUUUAAAAAAAAAUAAUCUUAGCGUUGAACGCUCCAAUUAUAUCACAGUGCAUUUUGGGCUGAUUUAUAAGCAUCACUCAAAAACUCGGAAUUGAAAACCAAAGCCCUUUCUACCCUUAAAGAAAUGUUCCUCGGCGACAUUGAAGAAGACUCCUUUAGUUAAAUAGCAGCGUCAAAACUUCUCCCGAGUGCCGAGAGCGAAUGUGCCCCGUGGGCGCGGCAAAGCCGCCGGCCCGGUGAGACCAACGGAACAUGUUCUGCCCUUCUGAGGUGCGCGCACAGCUGUCAGCCACUGAAAAGCUCGUGUUCCGGAUCAAAAUUAAGAACAAGCUUCAGAGCUUGGUGGUUUGGUUUGUUUAUUUUAAAGCACUUUCCAUGCUAAACACCGGAAAAGCCAAGAGUGUUUGCCCAAGUCCUGUCCGCCCGUGAGCGGGGCCCGCCCCGCCCGUCUCCAUCCAGCACCGCAGGUCCCGUCCUGCCCGGGGGAUCCCGGCUGGCCGGCACGGGGCUGUCACCAGCAGCAGGGAGCGGGAUCGCUCCCUCAACCCUCUCCGCCGACCCGCGGGGGAGGGGGAGCCAAGGGCGCCCGGGGCGCGGCGGGGUCCCGUUGGCGGCAGCGCUCCGGGAGCGCCGGGACCCGGGCGGGUUCGGGCGGCACCUCCGGCGAGCAGCCGGGCCUCGCUUCUGGCCUGCGCCGCCCUUCGGGCUCCCCGUCCUAUCCCACCCAGAGCCAUGCCGCGGGCAGCGCCGG